UACAUAAGAAAAAGCUGGAAUUCGAUCUUGGAAAUAAUUGACUCAAGCUCAUCAUACCUUUUUUUGUGACUCGACUCAAGCUCAUCAUAACCCUUUUUGUGACUCGACUCAAGCUCAUCAUACAUAAUCCGAUUUUCUCUUCUUCGUGUUCUAUUGAUCAGAAGCAUCCAGUAGCGCCUUGCCGGUUUAGAAUUCGAACACAAAAUGGCCAUACUUAAGCAAUUCUUCUUAUUCUUCUUCUUUCUUAGUUGAAGUUCUCCUUCUCCGGCAGCUAGUUCAAUGGUUUCUAAGCUGGACGACUGGUAUUCUCUGGAUGGACGGUAAAUCCAGGUAUGCUGCUGGUCCUUAGAAGGACCAAGGGAAUCCUGGUCUUCUCUCCUAACGAAUUUCCCCUUUGCUACUCCCUUUCGCUACCUGGAGCCAGGUUUUUUCUUAUUAUAGAUAAUGUACGCACAUGUGAUCUAUCUAAUUAAUGGACUAGCUUCACUAAGACUCAUUUGAUCUUCUAUAGCGACUUUCGGACCAUUCCAUUCAUUGUCUUCUUCUCAACCUCUCCUCGAUCACUGAACUGGGUUACUGAACUCCACCUUCUCGGAAUCCCAUUUCAGAAAGUCAGGUCGAAGGAAAAUGGAUUCCCUUGCUUGGGCAAUAAAAAGGUCUAUGAUUCUCAUCUCGAAAAAAGAGUUUAAAGCUACGGCACCUCCUAUAACUACACCACCAAGAUCGGGUAACAGAAC
rnacentral:lncRNA from 1 species